rfam:Human gut metagenome DNA, contig sequence: In-E_001528.
UAGCGAAGUAGGAUUUUAUGCGUCAAGUGUUCACAGGCUGGGGAGUCGCCGUGAAACGAAAAGCAGAAAGCGUGCUGCUUACGAUAUAAUUUCCGCACCCGUUGCUA